rnacentral:rRNA from 1 species
AGGACGAACGCUGGCGGCGUGCUUAACACAUGCAAGUCGAGCGGAAAGGCCCUUCGGGGUACUCGAGCGGCGAACGGGUGAGUAACACGUGAGUAACCUGCCCCAGACUUUGGGAUAACCCUCGGAAACGGGGGCUAAUACCGAAUAUGACUUUGACCCGCAUGGGUUUUUGUGGAAAGUUUUUCGGUUUGGGAUGGACUCGCGGCCUAUCAGCUUGUUGGUGAGGUAAUGGCUCACCAAGGCGAGGACGGGUAGCCGGCCUGAGAGGGCGACCGGCCACACUGGGACUGAGACACGGCCCAGACUCCUACGGGAGGCAGCAGUGGGGAAUAUGCACAAUGGGCGGAAGCCUGAUGCAGCGACGCCGCGUGAGGGAUGACGGCCUUCGGGUUGUAAACCUCUUUCAGCAGGGACGAAGCGCAAGUGACGGUACCUGCAGAAGAAGCGCCGGCCAACUACGUGCCAGCAGCCGC